GUUUCUAUGGUGUAAAAGCACAUUAGAUUUUCGUUCUAAAGGAAUAAAAUAUUUUAUUAGAAAUA
rnacentral:tRNA from 1 species